GUACCUGCGGAGGGAUCAUUACACAAAUAUGAAGGCGGGCUGGAACCUCUCGGGGUUACAGCCUUGCUGAAUUAUUCACCCUUGUCUUUUGCGUACUUCUUGUUUCCUUGGUGGGUUCGCCCACCACUAGGACAAACAUAAACCUUUUGUAAUUGCAAUCAGCGUCAGUAACAAAUUAAUAAUUACAACUUUCAACAACGGAUCUCUUGGUUCUGGCAUCGAUGAAGAACGCAGCGAAAUGCGAUAAGUAGUGUGAAUUGCAGAAUUCAGUGAAUCAUCGAAUCUUUGAACGCACAUUGCGCCCUUUGGUAUUCCAAAGGGCAUGCCUGUUCGAGCGUCAUUUGUACCCUCAAGCUUUGCUUGGUGUUGGGCGUCUUGUCUCUAGCUUUGCUGGAGACUCGCCUUAAAGUAAUUGGCAGCCGGCCUACUGGUUUCGGAGCGCAGCACAAGUCGCACUCUCUAUCAGCAAAGGUCUAGCAUCCAUUAAGCCUUUUUUUCAACUUUGACCUCGGAUCAGGUAGGAUGCCAGUUCCU
rnacentral:rRNA from 1 species